rnacentral:rRNA from 1 species
UACGUAGGUGGCAAGCGUUGUCCGGAUUUAUUGGGUUUAAAGGGUGCGUAGGCGGCCUAUUAAGUCAGUGCUGAAAUAUCCCGGCUUAACCGGGAGGGUGGCAUUGAUACUGAUGGGCUUGAGUAGAGUUGAGGUUGGCGGAAUUGACGGUGUAGCGGUGAAAUGCUUAGAUAUCGUCAAGAACACCUAUUGCGAAGGCAGCUAACUAGCUAAACUGACGCUGAGGCACGAAAGUGUGGGGAUCAAACAGG